rnacentral:rRNA from 1 species
UACGUAGGGGGCGAGCGUUGUCCGGAUUCAUUGGGCGUAAAGAGCUCGUAGGUGGUUUGUUACGUCUGCUGUGAAAACCUAGGGCUUAACCCUGGGCUUGCAGUGGAUACGGGCAGACUAGAGGUAGGUAGGGGAGAAUGGAAUUCCUGGUGUAGCGGUGAAAUGCGCAGAUAUCAGGAGGAACACCGGUGGCGAAGGCGGUUCUCUGGGCCUUACCUGACACUGAGGAGCGAAAGCGUGGGGAGCGAACAGG